UACGUAGGGGGCAAGCGUUGUCCGGAUUUAUUGGGCGUAAAGAGCGUGUAGGCGGCCAGUCAGGUCCGUUGUGAAAACUCGAGGCUCAACCUCGAGACGCCGAUGGAAACCAUCUGGCUAGAGUCCGGAAGAGGAGAGUGGAAUUCCUGGUGUAGCGGUGAAAUGCGCAGAUAUCAGGAGGAACACCGGUGGCGAAGGCGGAUCUCUGGGCCUUGCCUGACGCUGAGGCGCGAAAGCUAGGGGAGCGAACAGG
rnacentral:rRNA from 1 species